GGUUGAUCCUGCCGGAGGCCACUGCUAUUGGGGUUCGAGUAAGCCAUGCGAGUCUAUGGACUUCGGUCCAUGGCGGACGGCUCAGUAACACGUGGCUAACCUACCCUCAGGUGGGGGAUAACCUCGGGAAACUGAGGGUAAUACCCCAUAGGGGAAGAGGUCUGGAAUGAUCCUUCCUUGAAAGGACAUCCGCCUGAGGAUGGGGCUGCGUCCGAUUAGGUAGUUGGUGGGGUAAUGGCCCACCAAGCCUACGACCGGUACGGGCCUUGAGAGAGGAAGCCCGGAGAUGGGGACUGAGACACGGCCCCAGGCCCUACGGGGCGCAGCAGGCGCGAAACCUCCACAAUGCACGAAAGUGCGAUGGGGGAACCCCAAGUGCCUAUGCACAGCAUAGGCUUUUCCCAAGCGUAAACAGCUUGGGGAAUAAGGUCUGGGCAAGUCCGGCGCCAGCAGCCGCGGUAACACCGGCGGCCCGAGUGGUGGCCACUCUUAUUGGGCCUAAAGCGUCCGUAGCCGGUCCAGUAAGUCCCUGUUUAAAUCCUACGGCUCAACCGUAGGGCUGGCAGGGAUACUGCUGGACUUGGGACCGGGAGAGGACGAGGGUACUCCAGGGGUAGCGGUGAAAUGUGUUGACCCCUGGAGGACCACCUAUGGCGAAGGCACUCGUCU
rnacentral:rRNA from 1 species